rnacentral:rRNA from 1 species
AGUGAACGCUGGCGGUAGGCCUAACACAUGCAAGUCGAACGGCAGCACAGUAAGAGCUUGCUCUUACGGGUGGCGAGUGGCGGACGGGUGAGGAAUACAUCGGAAUCUACUUUUUCGUGGGGGAUAACGUAGGGAAACUUACGCUAAUACCGCAUACGACCUACGGGUGAAAGCAGGGGAUCUUCGGACCUUGCGCGAUUGAAUGAGCCGAUGUCGGAUUAGCUAGUUGGCGGGGUAAAGGCCCACCAAGGCGACGAUCCGUAGCUGGUCUGAGAGGAUGAUCAGCCACACUGGAACUGAGACACGGUCCAGACUCCUAAGGGAGGCAGCAGUGGGGAAUAUUGGACAAUGGGCGAAAGACUGAUCCAGCCAUACCGCGUGGGGGAAGAAGGCCUUCGGGUUGUAAAGCCCUUUUGUUGGGAAAGAAAAGCAGCAGGUUAAUACCACGCUGUUCUGACGGUACCCAAAGAAUAAGCACCGGCUAACUUCGUG